UACGAAGGGGGCUAGCGUUGCUCGGAAUCACUGGGCGUAAAGCGCACGUAGGCGGCUUUCUAAGUCAGGGGUGAAAUCCUGGAGCUCAACUCCAGAACUGCCUUUGAUACUGGAGAGCUAGAGUCCGGAAGAGGAGAGUGGAAUUCCCGGUGUAGCGGUGAAAUGCGCAGAUAUCGGGAAGAACACCCGUGGCGAAGGCGGCUCUCUGGGACGGUACUGACGCUGAGACGCGAAAGCGUGGGGAGCGAACAGG
rnacentral:rRNA from 1 species